rnacentral:lncRNA from 1 species
GAAAAGUAAUCAAACGAUUCCGGAAAUAACGGAAGUAACUUGCACGAGAGGCACUAUUAUGGGUUUUGUGCACGAGAUGCCCCUGAUAUGGGUUAUCAGCCCGGAUGGGAAAUUAUGGGUGUGUACUUCCGUUCAUUAUACAUAUGCAAAACUAUCAUAUCAAUGCUAAGUAUAUGAUGAUAAGGAAUAAUACAGGUGGAAGUCGAAAUAUUGGGAAUCACAGCAUUUGUAUAAUACUCUAACGUGUGGUAUUGAUUGACUUUAUGCAAAAAAUUGAUUAAGUAAACAGGUUAUUUUUUUGAUUAAGUAAUUAAAGUACAUUAACGUUUUAUAAAUUUAAAAACCGCACAGAGGUGAUACAUGGUGAUAAUUCAAACAGAAAUGAAAUGAAAUAAAACAAGAAUGUGUCCAUAGUACACGGAUGCCCCGCUUGCACUAUCAUUUUCUAUGAUUAGUGGAUCGUGAUUUGGGAUAAAACUCUAAAUUGGCAUUAGAAUGAGAAAGAUCAUAUCAUAGGACACAUGUGUACUAAGUUUCAAGUUGAUUGGACUUCAACUUCAUCAAAAACUACCUUGACCAAAAACUUUAAUCUGAAACUUGCACUAUUAUUUUCUAUGUUCAGUGGAUCGUGAAAUUGGGGUCAGAACUCUAAUUUGACAUUAGAAUUAGAAAGAUCAUAUCAUAAGGAACAUAUAUACUAAGUUUCAGGUUGAUUGGACUUCCAAUUCAUCAAAACUACAUCGAUAAAAAACUUUAACCUGAAACUGGACAGACGAACGAACGAACGAACGGACGAACGGACCCACAGACUAGAAAACAUAAUGCCCUCUACUAUCGUAGGUGGAGCAUAAAAAAAUCUAUCAUUAAUUUUAGAAUAUCAGUUUGAUAUAUAAAAAGGAUGCAAAUUAUCUAAUGUUUUAUA